rnacentral:lncRNA from 1 species
ACGGCGGAGAAAUCCUCAGGUUCAAGACUCCAUACGACGACUCCUUCUGCAGCCCCUGCCGCCAUGGCAGCACCCAAUGCAGUGGUUUCGGGCAUCAAGGGCUUCACUACUGGAAUAUACAGAAUGUCUGCUUGUAGCUGCAUAAGAAUUUUGUUGCUGGUCCUUCCUCCAUCAACCUGCAAAUGACUGAGUGGAAUUCCACAGUCUCAAUUCAUGGCAUCCAAAAUCUCUCGAAUAUGGAAACAAACAGCUUCUAAUGCAGCAAAAGCAAUAUGGCAUUUAUUGGUAAACUGAGUGAGUCCACAGAUUAUCCCUCUUGCGCUGGGCUCCCAAUAAGGUGCAUAUAACCCCGAAAAUGCUGGGACGAAGUAGCUGCCAUAAGAAGUACCUACUUCUUUAGCAAGUUUUUCAAUUUCUUCUGAGGUCUUUAUAAUUCCAAGAUUGUCUCUUAGCCAGCGAAUAACAGCACCAGCUAUAGCUACAGAACCUUCCAAAGCAUAAUAUACCGGUUUGUCUCUGCCAAGUUUGUAAGCCAUUGUGGUGAGAAGGCCAUGAUCAGAAAAUACACACUUAUGGCAUGUAUUACAUAGUAAGAAAUAUCCUGUUCCAUACGUAUUUUUGGCUUGUCCAAUCUGGAAACACAUUUGUCCCACCAGUGCAGCAGACUGGUCCCCUGAACACCCAGAUAUUGGCACACCUUCCAAGGCCCCAGCUUUCAUUAGGCCAUAGAUCUCAGAAGAACUCCGAACAUGUGGAAGAAUUUCCGUUGGAAUUCCAAAAAAUUCACAGAGUUGUUUAUCCCAUUCCAAAGAAUGAAUGUUGAAAAGCAUAGUCCUACUUGCAUUUGUUACAUCUGUACAGUGGACACCUCCAUUGACGCCUCCUGUCAAACUCCAAAUAAGCCAUGAAUCAAUAGUCCCAAAAAGAGCUCGUUUUUCUUCAACGGCCUUUUGAACUUUUCUCACAUUGUCAAGGAGCCAGCGAAGUUUCACUGCACUGAAGUAAGUGUUAAGUGGAAGGCCUGUCUUGGACUUGACAAAGUUAUUAUUUCCUGGAAUUCUCUUACUAAGACUCUCAACGGUAGACUGUGUUCUUAGUUCAAGCCACACCACAGCAUUGUAGAGAGGCUCUCCAGUUAUCUUGUCCCAGACUACAGUGGUUUCCCUCUGGUUGCUGACACCAAUAGCUUUUAUGUUGGAAAUACCAAUAUUGAGCUGUCCAAGUUUCUCACAUGUUUUCGCUAUACACUCAUAGACAGAAUGUAGAAUUUCCUUAGGGUCCUGUUCCACCCAUCCUUCUCUUGGGAACUCUUGUUUUAUUUCCACUUGAUGAUGACUAAGUAGUUCAGCUGUUCUUGAAUUGAAAACCAAAA